GAUGAAGAACGUAGCGAAAUGCGAUAAGUAAUGUGAAUUGCAGAAUUCAGUGAAUCAUCGAAUCUUUGAACGCACAUUGCGCCCGCCAGUAUUCUGGCGGGCAUGCCUGUUCGAGCGUCAUUUCAACCAUCAAGCCCCCGGCUUGUGUUGGGGACCUGCGGCUGCCGCAGGCCCUGAAAACCAGUGGCGGGCUCGCUAGUCACUCCGAGCGUAGUAAUACAUCUCGCUCAGGGCGUGCUGCGGGUUCCGGCCGUUAAAAAGCCUUAUUUACCCAAGGUUGACCUCGGAUCAGGUAGGAAGACCCGCUGAACUUAAGCAUAUCAAUAAGCGGAG
rnacentral:misc_RNA from 1 species